GAAGUGCUCAGUGUUUGCAGAAGUAAACAUGGAGGCUAACGGUGGAGCUUAGCUUACAUAUUUGAAGUUGUUGUCUAACCGGAGCAGCAUAUAGUCAGCAUUAUAGUCCGUCUUAGUUGUUUUUCUUCCCACUUGCGUGCAUCAGGACUCAGGAUUUGUUGAGUAUCAGAGACGUUCAGUUCGGAUGAAUGUGGUCUGGACGUUUGAAUUGGAUACGCAUCGGAUAUGGGUCGCAUUCGAAAACAAUCCAACCUGUACUUUUCAGACUGUCAUGAAAAUAUCUGAUACAGGUCGCAUUACAUCCCAGCCUCGAACAAUGGUCACUGAUAGAGUUCCCCUUGAGGCGUGCUGAGGGCAGCAGUUAGAAGCCACAUUAGGAGUCAUGUCACAAUGUGGCUCUUUGGGAUGAAGAAUGAUUAACUGAGGACUGAUGAACUGCCUGUGUCAGCCAUUACACAUGUGUUCCUGAACUCAUUCUACUGUUCAAUAACAAACUUGACAUGAAAACACCACCACCUGCUGGCUGGGAAGAAUUACUGCUAGCACAGCUGUGUUAUUCCAGUGAGGUAGCGUUACCACCCACAGCUGAAGACGCCCACUUCGGCAGCACAGAUGCAGCGUACAAACCAGGAAAUCAGGAAUAAAAAUGGUUGCUAUUCAGUUGAAGGAGAGAGGGGCCAGAAAGACUAAGAGUGCAAGGGAAGCAGCUAGAACGAGCAGGAGCUAUUAG